AUCUGUCUCAUGUUGUAUUGAUAUCUGUCUCGUAUUGUAUUGAUAUCUGUCUCGUAUUGUAUUGAUAUCUGUCUCAUGUUGUAUUGAUAUCUGUCUCAUGUUGUGUUGUAUUGAUAUCUGUCUCAUGUUGUAUUGUAUUGAUAUCUGUCUCAUGUUGUGUUGAUAUCUGUCUCAUGUUGUAUUGAUAUCUGUCUCAUGUUGUAUUGUAUUGAUAUCUGUCUCAUGUUGUGUUGUAUUGAUAUCUGUCUCAUGUUGUAUUGAUAUCUGUCUCAUGUUGUAUUGAUAUCUGUCUCAUGUUGUAUUGUAUUGAUAUCUGUCUCAUGUUGUGUUGUAUUGAUAUCUGUCUCGUGUUGUAUUGAUAUCUGUCUCGUGUUGUAUCUGUCUCAUGUUGUAUUGAUAUCUGUCUCAUGUUGUGUUGAUAUCUGUCUCAUGUUGUACAGCCCACAUACAGGAGCAGUCAGCAUGUCAACUGCAACGAGUCCUGAUGUACAAUGCUGACUGCCCCUGUAUGCAUUCUGCUGUAAAUAUAUUCUGUUAAUAGUUCACUGAAGUUUAUUGUACCGUACUGGGCGCCUCUCCUCUUCUUUCUUAUCUAUUAUGGUUAUAGGCUGGCUAUCUGUAAAGCACUUUGUGACAACUGCUGAUGUAAGAAAAUGACUUUAUUAAAACACAUUUGAUUGAUAAUGAACCCCCCCCCCCCAAGAGAAAACAUGCACACAGUGUUUGUAGGCCUAUGUACCAUGUGUACCAGUCUUCAUUAACUGAGAGUUCCACUUCUGUUGUUGCAGCUUGGUGGGAAGCCCAGGAGCUUUUCCCUGUGCAUCAUGGACCUGCUUAAAGCCUCAGUGCCUAUCACCAUGUGUUUAUUCAAGUGUCAUCGUGAAACCAGAAAAAUAGUAAUGCGUCUGUAACAAGAACAGUGAGAGUAAUGUUGUUUUUCUUUCUGUGAAUAUUUAGUUGAUCAGGACCACAUCUGAAUUAGAAUGAUUUGAUGACUGCCAUCCACAUCCAAUCCACCACUUACCUAAUGAACACUAUUCACUCAGCAUUAUGUGCCAAUCAACAAAGUUUAUGAUUAAUAUUCCCUUUUGUCAGUAACAACCUCUACACAUAGCAACAUGCUUGACUGAAAACCUUUAAGCAUGUCUAUAGUCUUUAUGGGGGGUGAUGCUGUUACCAUCAGAUAUAUUAUGCCAAUAUGUCAGUUCUCAAUUAGAGGUGAGAUGAGAGCAGUGGGAAUGCAGGCGCCUUAAAGGCAGGUAGGUAGUCCUGCCUUUAAGAGGAGCAGGCAGGGGAGCAGGCAGAGGAGCAGGCAGAGGAGCAGGCAGCCAGUACAUUGCAAUGCACUUUGUAUGUAUUCUGUUGUAAAUAUAUUCUGUUAAUAUUUCAUUAAAGUUUAUUGUAACGUACGGGCCACCUACUCCUCUUAGUUAUCAUUUAGGAAGAUUAUGUUCACAGGCCUCUCCAAAUGCUAUGUUGAAGGAGGAAAACAGACAGUUUCUCUCAUUCCUUCACCAAGUCAUCCAAUGUUCGCAUCAUGAACAAAUGUUGCAUCAUUUCAACUGCUCCUCCUCAAUGUAACAGAUGUGAAAUGCCUAGCUAGUUAGCGGUGGUGCGCGCUAAAUAGCGUUUCAGUC
ensembl:lncRNA